rnacentral:snoRNA from 1 species
CCCCUCCAGGUUCCUUGCCGCUCUGAUCUAAAUAUUGGUCUGAAUGGCUCAAAAAGGGAAGAAAAAUAAAAUUAAAGUGGAUUUGUAGACUUAAGGGACAUAUAAGCUCAUUUCAAACAUAU